AACUAAUUGAUUUUAAAGUAAGUUACUGUUUUUAUUAUCCUGCUAACCGUACUCAUAAUCGCUUGGUCACUGGUUCAAGUCCAGUAGGGGCCACCA
rnacentral:tRNA from 2 species